rnacentral:rRNA from 1 species
UGGGGAAUUUUGGACAAUGGGGGAAACCCUGAUCCAGCCAUCCCGCGUGUGCGAUGAAGGCCUUCGGGUUGUAAAGCACUUUUGGCAGGAAAGAAACGUCGCGGGUUAAUACCCCGCGAAACUGACGGUACCUGCAGAAUAAGCACCGGCUAACUACGUGCCAGCAGCCGCGGUAAUACGUAGGGUGCAAGCGUUAAUCGGAAUUACUGGGCGUAAAGCGUGCGCAGGCGGUUCGGAAAGAAAGAUGUGAAAUCCCAGAGCUUAACUUUGGAACUGCAUUUUUAACUACCGGGCUAGAGUGUGUCAGAGGGAGGUGGAAUUCCGCGUGUAGCAGUGAAAUGCGUAGAUAUGCGGAGGAACACCGAUGGCGAAGGCAGCCUCCUGGGAUAACACUGACGCUCAUGCACGAAAGCGUGGGGAGCAAACAGGAUUAGAUACCCUGGUAGUCCACGCCCUAAACGAUGUCAACUAGCUGUUGGGGCCUUCGGGCCUUGGUAGCGCAGCUAACGCGUGAAGUUGACCGCCUGGGGAGUACGGUCGCAAGAUUAAAACUCAAAUGAAUUGACGGGGUCGAUANCU